UGGCCCAGUCCACCCGAUUCCCCUCCAAUUCACCCCAACCCACGUGGCUCAGAAGGCACGCCUAGGCCCUCGUGGAACUGGAUCCACGCCGAAGACCGUAGCCUCCUCCUUGCGCGGCCGCCUCCUCGAUGCGCCGGCGCCGGCCACAGCCCCCUCCUUGCGCUGCCGCCCGUAGCCUCCUCGCAACGCCAUCUGCAGCCUCCUCGCGAUGCCGUAUGCAGCCUCCUCGACGUGUCGCCACCGGCCACAGCCUCUUGAUGCGUAGCCGCCGCCUGAAAAGCUGGAUUUCACCCCGGCAGGUUAAGAAGUGGAACGAGCAGAGGGAAAAUGGGAGAUUUGCAGGGCCCUUCUAAAUCAUCCGUUUGAGAUUCUCCUCAGUUGCUUUUGUGUCAGCGCUAUUGCUGUCUUAUGUUCAAAUUUGUGCUCCUGUAAUGUACUCUUUUCCAGCAAUCAUUGCAGAACAUAUGUGAUGUUUUUCUGUUGCACAUAUAACUCAGCAUGCUUAUGUAUUUUGUUAUCCAGUAUACUUAAAUGUAUGCUUUCCGGGGACUUGCGAAUGCACAAUUAUGUUGUUGUGAUGUGACUGCACAAUCAUGUGAUGAUAUAUUGAUUCCAAGUCAAGGAAAUUAUGUUGUU